AGAAUGCAUUUUUUCUUCUUGAUUAACAUCUCUAAUGGGCUCCCUGACAGUGUGAAAGCUGAAGUCAAGUCUUAAGCAAGGCAUCCCUUAUCUACAGGUCAUAGAUCCUGACGAAGGGCAAACAACGCAUCACCCGUGAGAGCUGGAUUUGCAAACUGAACCCACAACGUGGCAGUGAGUGGCCCAACUCAAAUGGGUAAGGAGUCGAACACAGACCCUGGCUACAUCACAGCUCAGGUACUAUGUUCCUGUUAUGUGCCAAGAAACAGCGAUGAACAAGCAGACCCUCUCCAAAAAGACUCUGCUUUAAUGGAAUUUACAUUCUAGUGGAGAAGACAGACAAAUGUGAAGAUUCCAAGCAUGAAAACUCUAACUCAUCAGAACCUAACCACAACCAAGACUGAAGUAAUCAUCUGGUUCCAUGCGAAUUCUUCCCAUUCUUUACCUACCGCUUUCCACCCAGGAGAAGAUGGAGAGGCAGUCACAAGGCCAAGCUACUCCGGGCUGACAGGGUCCUCGUCAGAGUCCCCAUCACCUCAUCUGUUUUCCCCCAAAGCCCGCUAGGCUUCCAGGCGGAAGGCUCUGAACCCAGCUUGAGCAGACUAGGGGAGGGGAGAGGGGCUCUCCUGCAGAGCUUCCAGGGGUGGAGCCUGAUUCUAAGGUCUGGCUGCUGUCUGCAGGCUUGUGUCACCAACCCAGAUUUGUCACCCCUUCCUCUCCAUGCCCUAUGCUUUGUGAUUUUGCAGUCCUCCCCAUGAUGGAGUGCAGCGUAUUUCCCCACUUGUUAACUUUGUCUUUUGAUAAUGUGACAGUUCUGAGCCUAGGUUUUAAGAGGCCUUGUGUGUGUCUGCCCACCUCCAGGUGCCUCUACCCUCUCCACUGACCCAGGAGGAGGCUGAGAGGUACAUGGUGCAAAGCUGCAUCCCAACUGUCCAGCCAAGUCUGGCCAAGAUCAGCUGGUUACAGGUGACCCACGAACCAAUGAACUCAAAAAGUUCUUACUACUGUAUACCACUGAAUCCAAAAUUGGAGUGGUCUGAUAUGGUAUGCAGCAAUUGCAAUUGGUAAUGGCCCAUUUACAACCAGGAAAGAGAUCCAUGUAUACAAGUAGACCAAUCCUCUGGAGGGAAGGGCUGAGGAAUUAUCUAAAAAUCAUCUAAAAUUAAGAGUCGGGUAGGUUUCCCAGGUGUAUGCCCUUCUUAGAGUGGAGGGCCACUGCCCAGGGACCAAGGCCUCUCUCUGCCUCCGCCACCUGGGCCGCCAGUUGAAAGCCUUCAUUUCACAUGGCAAAGCCCUGAUGAGACAUUCCCCAUCUCUUUUCUCAUCCUCCUGGCCUCUAAAAAAAGAAAAAAAAAAUCAAAACCACCACCAUCUAUCUGUUAGGGACUCUCUUCAAACAAUGGUUUUUGAACCUGCCUUAGACUCCUUAUAGCAUUCGUGAUCGGGACAGGCUCCCGUGUGAAUACUUCCGUGGGCCAAGGGCCAGAGACAUGGGAGACUCCUCAUUUAGGGGGCAGUCAGCUGCCGGGAGAUCCUUUUUUUUUUUUGUGCCACACAGGCCAGCAUCCCCACUGGCCCCAGAGGGGCCAAAGCUUUCAUAAUGUGAGCACAGGUCCCAGCAGCUUAGAUGUGAGCUGUUUGGGGAUAAAUAACUGGAUUAUUCAUUCUUCUGUUCAUGAAAGGCCAGUGGUCUGACGUUUCUACUGGUCAUGGUUGGCAUAUAGAACAGAGCCUCAUUUUUCCUGCUGUUCAUAUAAAUGGACUCACCCUGCCCAGACUCCCUGCUGUAAA